GAGACAGCAGUAGCCGCGGUAAUACAGAGGGUGCGAGCGUUAAUCGGAUUUACUGGUCGUAAAGCGUGCGUAGGCGGCUUUUUAAGUCGGAUGUGAAAUCCCUGAGCUUAACUUAGGAAUUGCAUUCGAUACUGGGAAGCUAGAGUAUGGGAGAGGAUGGUAGAAUUCCAGGUGUAGCGGUGAAAUGCGUAGAGAUCUGGAGGAAUACCGAUGGCGAAGGCAGCCAUCUGGCCUAAUACUGACGCUGAGGUACGAAAGCAUGGGGAGCAAACAGGAUUAGAUACCCCGGUAGUCCCUGUCUCUUAUAA
rnacentral:rRNA from 1 species